rnacentral:rRNA from 1 species
AGCAGCCGCGGUAAUUCCAGCUCCAAUAGCGUAUAUUAAAGUUGUUGCAGUUAAAAAGCUCGUAGUUGAAUUUCGGGGUCAGCAGGUUGGUCGUGCCAACGGUAUGUACUGGCUUUGCUGAUUCCUCCUUCUUGUAGAACUGUAAUGCCAUUAAUUUGGUGUUGCAGGGAAACAGGACUGUUACUUUGAAAAAAUUAGAGUGUUUAAAGCAGGCUUACGCUUGAAUACAUUAGCAUGGAGUAAUGAAAUAGGACGUUGAUCCUAUUUUGUUGGUUUCUAGGAUUGACGUAAUGAUUAAUAGGGAUAGUUGGGGGCAUUAGUAUUCAAUUGUCAGAGGUGAAAUUCUUGGAUUUAUUGAAGACUAACUACUGCGAAAGCAUUUGCCAAGGAUGUUUUCAUUAAUCAAGAACGAAAGUUAGGGGAUCGAAGACGAUCAGAUACCGUCGUAGUCUUAACCAUAAACUAUGCCGACUAGGGAUCGGAUGAUGUUAAUUUUUAAUGACUCAUUCGGCGCCUUAAC